rnacentral:rRNA from 1 species
UACGUAUGUCUCGAGCGUUACCCGGAAUCACUGGGUGUAAAGGGUUCGUAGGCGGCUGUAUAAGUUGGAUAUGAAAGACCGGAGCUCAACUCCGUGUUUGUAUUCAAAACUGUACAGCUAGAAUUAGGGAGAGGUAAGCGGAAUUCUAAGUGUAGGGGUGCAAUCCGUAGAUACUUAGAGGAACACCGAAAGCGAAGGCAGCUUACUGGAACUAUAUUGACGCUGAGGAACGAAAGCGUGGGGAGCGAAAAGG